UACGUAGGGGGCAAGCGUUGUCCGGAAUCAUUGGGCGUAAAGCGCGCGUAGGCGGUCCGAUAAGUCUGCUGUGAAAGUCGGGGGCUCAACCCUCGGAUGCCGGUGGAUACUGUCGGGCUUGAGUGCGGAAGAGGCGAGUGGAAUUCCUGGUGUAGCGGUGAAAUGCGCAGAUAUCAGGAGGAACACCAAUUGCGAAGGCAGCUCGCUGGGACGUUACUGACGCUGAUGCGCGAAAGCGUGGGGAGCAAACAGG
rnacentral:rRNA from 1 species